GUUUGCUGUGCGGGUCUCCCCCCACCCUGCCUUGCUGGGCCUGCUUACAGGGGAUUCCCCCUCUCUCCCUGCGUUUCUCCUCCUCCCUUGCAGUUCCUGGCAGCCUCCAGGUGAAGAGGAAGAAGGUGGAGGUCGCCGCUGCCCCCUCCUCUGCCAGGAUGCAGGAGUCCCCCUCCCCGGGGAGGGCUGAAGCCCCCCCGCUCCCCCUGACGCAGGAAGCCCCGAAGGCCACCUGGUCCCUUUCAGCGAGAGCCAGCAGGCAAGGCUACCAGCCUGAGCUGAGGGGGCCUGUGGAGGAGGCGCCCACGCUGGUAGAGCGCUUGAGCCUGGUGAAAACGGUCCAAGCUGUGGUCUCGGUCACCCCAGAGAGCCCCUCGUCCCCCAGCCCCUCCAGGGGCUUUAAGAGCAGAGGGGAGCACUGUAGCCCCCGGCCUUGGCUGCCCCUGCGGGUGUUGGGCUCCGUGAUGCCUUUCAAGCCCCGGAGUUGGAAGGGAGCGUUGGAGGGAGGUCGGGCGGAGGGAGAAAGGAGGCCUCUGGGGCAGCCGGGGGGCGGGCGGUGCUGAGGAUGGGACUUUUGCCAGCAUGAAAUCAUUUGCAAGUUUAGAAAAUGUUGACCCGGCCACGGCUUCCUUCCCCAAGCCCCCUACAGGUGGGGCUGGCCCAUGGCAGGCCUGUAAAGGAAGCCCCCGUGGACAGGUUCUUGAGAUGGCCACAGACUCCGUGGCCAGUGCCCCGUGGCACCUGCCCCGCAUGUGACUUCACCUCCUCCGCUCUCUGCCACCAGGAGCCUUUCAAAGGAGGGCCGGCCUGGGGCUCUGGGCUCCCGGUGGAGGUGGCAGUCCUGGGUGGCCUUUGCGGGGAGGAGUGGGGGGGUGGGGGUGGGUGAAAGGGAGCCCACCCGGCCUCUUCUGAUGUCUGGCGCCCAGAGCGUGGUCUUCAGGGAACCGGUGUCAGUGCAGCCGAGCCAGGCAUCCAUGCCCUCCACCUCGCGUUCGAAGAGCCCCCAGCCGUCGGCCAUCGUCAAAGGCUUCUUUCCGGAGAGGCCCAGCAGCCCACAGGGGUCUCGUGCGGAGCUCAAGAGCCGGAGUCUCCAGCUGCCCAGAAUAUACUCCGGCUUCAUCCCCAACUCUGUGGUCGUCCAGCAGCUUCACCCCAGCUUCACGGAGACAGAGGAUCUGGUGAAGGUGAUCGAGCCCCAGGAGGUGUCGGCGAGCUCCUCGAAGGCCAGUUUGAUGGGGACAUUUGAUGAGGGUGAGCUGCCCAAGGAAGAACUGUGGCCGGUGGGCCUGGCGACCACCUCCAAGUCCCGGAUCAUGCCAGCCAAGGAAGGUGCCCCCUCCACAAAGCAGAGCGUGCCUGGGGUCUUCCUGACUCAGCUGGAUGAGUCCCAGUAUCCAGAGCCACAGGUGAUGAUGCCGGUGUUUGUUUGGCCCUUCAUGGACCAAGAGUGGUUCCAGGAACUUUUCCCAGAGGUGAGAGGGGCCCCUGGAGACCCAAGGACACCAAGGGAGCCUUGCCCCCACAUCGUUUGCUUUCCAUUCCCCCUCCCCCCAUCUUUCUUGGGGAUGGGCUGGCCUUGGGGCUGUCUUGGGUUUGUGACCUCCAUUGAUAGAAAAGGGGGCACGAUGGCUCAGUGGUUAAAGGCAAAAGCCGACCGCCCAGGUUGAAGACCCAAGUACCGCAUGAAAGGGUGAGCUCCUGUUGCUGGCUCCAGCUCCUGCCCACCUAACAGUUGGAGGGCAUGCAAAUGUGAGUAGAUAAAUAGGUACCACUUUGGUGGGAAGGUAACAAUGUUCUGUGCGCCUCGGUAUAUGGCCAUGCUGGCCACAUGGCCACUGAAGCCUCUUCUCAGCUGGGGGAUGGAGAGGAGCCCCUCCCUCUAGAGCCACGUGCCCCUGGCAGGAGAAACCUUUGCCUUUAUAAGAAUUGCACCCAUUGGGGCUCAACCUUGAGGCGACCCCAGUCCCGUUCCAGAUACUGAAGAGCAAGUCGCCAAUGACCUCUCAACCUGUGUACAAACCAUGGCGAUGUUGGCUUGUUACACUGGACUAGAAACCAGGCAGCCUAAGGCUAGCCCCAUAUGCAGUGUGGAUCAUGUGGAUCAAGGGCUGGAAGGGGCCCGAGUGGUCAAAGGGAUGGAGUCCGGGGGUUGGGCUGGCUGAGGUGGGAAGCCAAUGCAUCCUUCCCUUUAUGAAUGUGGGGGGUGCCCCCCCUCGCCUGCCUUUCAUUAACAUGCUGGCAUGGGGCCGGGUUGCCUUCCUGAUUGCCCGUCCAAGCAGAAGAGGUCUGUUCUAGGCCCCCUCUCUAGGCGGUGGGCCUUCCUCUGCAACGUCAUCCCCCCAGGUGAGCUUCGCCCCAGCCGCCUCCU
rnacentral:lncRNA from 1 species